AAUUUUUAGUACAGUAAUGUCUUAUUUGAUGUGAUGAUUUUAUAUUCCAAAUUAAGGUGGAUCAUCACUUUAUAUUUCCUUAAAUAGACGUUUCUUAUACAUUGCCAAAAUGUAGAUUUAUCAAGGGUUUUUUUUAAAUACAAUAAAAAGUAUGGGUCACCGUGCUAUUUUUCAAGCUACAAGUCGAGCAUCACUUUUUUGUGAAUAAAAAUAAAUCUAUGAGAUAGAA